rnacentral:rRNA from 1 species
UACAGAGGGUGCAAGCGUUAAUCGGAAUUACUGGGCGUAAAGCGUGCGCAGACGGUUGCGUAAGUCAGAUGUGAAAAGCCCCCCGGCUCAACCGGGGGAGGGUCAUUGGAAACUGGGGGAACUUGAGUACUGAAGAGGAAAGCGGAAUUCCACGUGUAGCGGUGAAAUGCGUAGAGAUGUGGAGGAACACCAGUGGCGAAGGCGGCUUUCUGGUCAGUAACUGACGCUGAGGCGCGAAAGCGUGGGGGAGCAAACAGG